rnacentral:lncRNA from 1 species
AGUCCCUGCACUUCCAAGGAGGUGGAGGAACUCUCUGCUCCAACCUGUCCACCUGGCAGGCCCCUCGGGGACUCCCUUCCUUCAAACAACCCUACGCAACUUGGCUCUGAUUUGCUUCUUUGUCACCCCAGUAAACAGCAUACCUCAGAGAGGGCGCAGCUGCCUCCUCUGCAUUCUCACAGCUUCCAGCCGCACAUUUGACACAGUGCUUAUCUCCCUGUGUGGGAACAUCCCUGCCUCAUGCCUGCCUGUGCCACUCCACAGCACAGUGCUGGCACAUGCGAGGUGCUCAGCCCAUGGUUACUGAGUGGCUGAUGAAGGAAUGGAUAAUAUCUAGCCAUUUUCAGUUGCAUGGAGAGACUGGGCCAGUUAUUCUUUGGCUGCAGCUGCCUCAAAAAGAGAAAUGGUCCUCUUUCCUCUUUCCUACAGUCUGGGUCAUGAUAUUAAUGUGGCCUGUGGCUUUCAACAAAUAUUUGUGGCUUCAGAGUCUCCUUGUUUGAAGGCAUUUCUGGAGGCUUUGGCUGGCACUAUAAUUCCUGAACUGACAAUUGGUGUGAGAUGGCUGGAGGCUGAAGGAAGCUGGGAUGUUGUGGUGUCUUAAUCAUAAACUGCCCGACCACCAAAGAAAUGGAUCAUUUCUGGGAGGUCUAGAAGGACAUACAAUGAGAUCCCUUAAUGCCAUGGAAGAUGCCAGGACAAUGCACAUGUCCAUGGUUCUGUGGCUGGGUCCUUCUUCUCUGAAGCUGCUGCUGUCCCAGAAGAUCAACCUGUGACAAUCCACAGCCUGCCUGUCAUUUGGAUGGCCCCUGCAAUCAGCUCUCCAGGAAGGUUUUUCUAUGUUUUUCUGACUGCUUCUGUUGUUAAAAGAUCUACAGGGUCCCACAAGAUUACUGUUCAAAUGGCUCUCCAGGGACCCUCCCUUAGCAUGGAACUUCUUGCCACAAAGGGAAAAUAACCGAGCAAAAAAUACCUAUGGAUUCCUCAACACCUGACUUUGGUUGGGUAAUCUUUCUUUAAAUCGCUAUUCCUUCCCAAC